UGGCAGGUAUAAGUAACGCAAAGACGGGUGAGAUCCCCGUCCGCCGAAAACCUAAGGUUUCCUGGGUAAAGGCAAUCUGCCCAGGGUAAGUCGGCCCCUAAGGCGAGGACGAAAGUCGUAGUCGAUGGGAAUCUGGUUCAUAUUCCAGAACCUUUAUUAGUUUCGAAGGCAAGACGCAUGAGGUGAAACCAGGCCGGGCGACGGUUGUCCCGGUCAAAGUAAUAAGCUUUUGAGGUCUAUAGGCAAAUCCGUAGACUGAGGCGAGUUGCGAAGCGAGUGGAAAGAAAGUUGAGGCGAAGCUGGUGUAAUCAAGGUGCCGAGAAAUACUGUCUAAGGCUAGGCUAGUAAGGACCGUACCGGAAACCGACACAGGUAGGUAGGAUGAGUAAUCUAAGGCGCACGAGAGACCUCGCGUUAAGGAACUCGGCAAAAUGCACACGUAACUUCGGGAGAAGUGUGGCCCCUUUUUGGUAAAAAAUGGGGGGUGGCACAGAGCAGGCCCAGGCGACUGUUUAUCAAAAACACAGCCAUCUGCGAAUCAGUAAUGAGACGUAUAGGUGGUGACACCUGCCCGGUGCUGGAAGGUUAAGAGGAGCGGUUAGACGAGCGUCGAAGCUGUGAAUCGAAGCACCAGUAAACGGCGGCCGUAACUAUAACGGUCCUAAGGUAGCGAAAUUCCUUGUCGGGUAAGUUCCGACCCGCACGAAUGGUGUAACGAUUCUGGGCGCUGUCUCAACGCGAGACUCGGUGAAAUUUAUAUACCGGUAAAGAAGCCGGUUACCCACAGUUAGACGGAAAGACCCCGUGAACCUUCACCGUAACUUACUAUUGGGAUCUUAUUUAUCAUGUGUAGGAUAGGUGGGAGACUGUGAUCCGUGGCCGUUAGGCUGCGAGGAGUCGUUGGUGAAAUACCACCCUUGAUGAAUGAGAUUUCUAACCCAUGCCAUGAAGCUGGUGUGGGGACAGUGGUAGGCAGGCGGUUUGACUGGGGCGGUCGCCUCCUAAAGAGUAACGGAGGUGCGCGAAGGUCCCCUCGCGCUGGUUGGAAAUCAGCGUACGAGUGUAAAGGCACAAGGGGGCUUGACUGCGAGACUGACUGGUCGAGCAGGUACGAAAGUAGGUCUUAGUGAUCUGGUGGUUGCGAGUGGAAGCGCCAUCACUUAACGGACAAAAGGUACUCCGGGGAUAACAGGCUGAUCUUCCCCAAGAGUUCACAUCGACGGGAAGGUUUGGCACCUCGAUGUCGGCUCAUCGCAUCCUGGGGCUGGAGCAGGUCCCAAGGGUUUGGCUGUUCGCCAAUUAAAGCGGUACGUGAGCUGGGUUCAGAACGUCGCGAGACAGUUCGGUCCCUAUCUGCUGUGGGCGUUGGAUGAUUGAGAGGGUCUGCUUUUAGUACGAGAGGACCGAAGUGGACGAACCUCUGGUGUAUCUGUUAUCCUGCCAAGGGUAAGUGCAGAGUAGCUACGUUCGGAAUGGAUAACCGCUGAAAGCAUCUAAGUGGGAAGCCAUCCUCAAGAUAAAUCAUCCCUGGGGGUUAACCCCCCUAAAGACUCCAGAGAGACUAUCUGGUUGAUAGGCUGCAAGUCUAAGCAUAGUAAUGUGUUCAGCCGAGCAGUACUAAUAAGUCGUGAGGCUUGACC
rnacentral:rRNA from 1 species